GGGUCUGUAACUCAGUUGGCAGAUGCCCGACAGUGGAAACACCUCGGGCGGUCGCAGGUUCGAGUCCUGCCAGACCCA
rnacentral:tRNA from 1 species